UUCGAUAUUGAUUUAUAUUUUAGUUUGAAAUAAACAUUUUUUUGGUAAUAUUAACAUUUUUAAAAAUAGUAAACUUAAAUAAUAAUUUGUCAUACUACGAUUGGUCGUUUAAAUCCUACGUGGACGCUCUCGAUGGCUUAUAGCCUCAACUUUUAUAUAGUAUAGAUUGAUUACACAAUAAAUGUUACUCUCCAAAAAUGAUUCUCUAUUAAUAAGAAAAGGAUAUUAUAGUGCUUAUAACAGUCUUGCUAUUUGUAUAACAACGCUUGAUUUUUUUUUUAGCGUUUGUCAAUUUAAAAACGUUAUGUCGGGAAAAUAAAGAAAUUUAGCUGCUUAAUUUGUUACAAUAAGGUAUGUUCUCGUUCAAUCGUUCUUCUUUGUUCUAUCUCAUUGAGAAAAAAAUAACAAUUAUCUCUUGAUCAUUCACUCUCUCUCUCUCUCUCUGGCUCCAAAAUCAAUAUCGAAACACUCGGUUGACUCAAUGACAAUAGCCGGCAGCCGCAACGAGUUGUCGAAUCAAAUGGAGGUGGGGUUAGAUUCGUUUCAGAGACAAGUCGCGGAAAGGUUUAUCGAUCUAACUGCAGGAGAAUGAUAAUGAGAAUCCAAGCACGGCUGCUUCAAGCGCUUAAGCGAUGGAAUUGGAGAAGCCGAAGGCAAAGCAGAACAAGGAAGGAAUUAGUUACAUCAACAGCCGCGAAGCCAUGGACUCAUCAGCUCGUCUCUAGCAUCCUUCGCUCCUUACCCAGAUUCUUCUUCAAUUCCCCACUUUCCAUCGGUCGGCAAAAGGGUUUUCGUCACCGGUCACUUUAAAGCAGAGAAACCUCCGUGAAGAAUCAGUCCGACAAAGAAAGCUUCACCUUUUUCUUCAUGAUUAUGUUGCACAGUAGCCGAGUAUGUCUGAUUCUGUUUUUCGUUCUAAUGAGGGUAGUGAAAUUGAAUUGUACAUCAAGAUUGGUCUGAUGAGAAUGAUGUCAAGACGCUGUAUUAUAAUGUAUUGAAGCAUCAGGAAAGGAAGUGUCUUCACAAAACAACGAGGAGGCGAAGACAGCGAUGAUGUUGAGAAGGAGAUUUCUAGGCAAGCUUCCAAAACCAAGUCUGUUAAGGAAGUACGUUUCCCAAUCUCACUCGGUUUCUUAGUUUUAGAUUCUGCUAAGUAGUUAAAAGGUGUUGUGUUGAAUUAGACUGAGGAGCAUCAUAACAAGGCGAGAGUCGUUGUCUUAGUUUAGAUCAGUCCUUGUCAAAUGUUCUGAAUGACAAAUGCUUUUUGUUUCUUAUGGUCUUGUUUUCUUUGAGGUCUUGAAGGGUAUUGUAAGAAAUGGAUAACAUCAGUGGAUUGCCUAAUGAACUGUUGGUGAGGGUACUAUCGUUAGUUCCAACAUUCACUGUUUGUACUUAUGGAUUUUAUCGACAAGAACCUGCCAUUACAUAGAGCUCCUGUCAUAGAAAACUUGUGUCUUUCUUUAUGGGAGUCAAGGGUGGGUUCAGAUUGCUGUAUAUCGCUAUCUACGUAAGCUGGACGUUUCUUAUUCUUUGGUUAAGAAAGAAAACAUGGUUCCCAACAGCUUGUUUACUUGCAAAACGCUUGUGAUCUUGAAACCUUGAACCAAUACAUGUCUUUUCAUUUGUAUAACAUAAUUCUACUUUCAUAUAUUUUUGUGAUCAGAUUGUUUUGAAUAUUGAGUGAGUGAUUUGGUUUCGUUGCGGACCGGUUCUAGAUUGUCAGUACCUGAUUUUUUUUCUAUGAUAUAAUAUUUGGCAAUUAAAUA